rnacentral:rRNA from 1 species
GAUGAACGCUGGCGGCGUGCCUAAUACAUGCAAGUCGAGCGAACAGACAAGGAGCUUGCUCCUUUGACGUUAGCGGCAGACGGGUGAGUAACACGUGGGUAACCUACCUAUAAGACUGGGAUAACUUCGGGAAACCGGAGCUAAUACCGGAUAAUAUUUCGAACCGCAUGGUUCGAUAGUGAAAGAUGGUUUUGCUAUCACUUAUAGAUGGACCCGCGCCGUAUUAGCUAGUUGGUAAGGUAACGGCUUACCAAGGCGACGAUACGUAGCCGACCUGAGAGGGUGAUCGGCCACACUGGAACUGAGACACGGUCCAGACUCCUACGGGAGGCAGCAGUAGGGAAUCUUCCGCAAUGGGCGAAAGCCUGACGGAGCAACGCCGCGUGAGUGAUGAAGGUCUUCGGAUCGUAAAACUCUGUUAUUAGGGAAGAACAUACGUGUAAGUAACUAUGCACGUCUUGACGGUACCUAAUCAGAAAGCCACGGCUAACUACGUGCCAGCAGCCGCGGUAAUACGUAGGUGGCAAGCGUUAUCCGGAAUUAUUGGGCGUAAAGCGCGCGUAGGCGGUUUUUUAAGUCUGAUGUGAAAGCCCACGGCUCAACCGUGGAGGGUCAUUGGAAACUGUAAAACUUGAGUGCAGAAGAGGAAAGUGGAAUUCCAUGUGUAGCGGUGAAAUGCGCAGAGAUAUGGAGGAACACCAGUGGCGAAGGCGACUUUCUGGUCUGUAACUGACGCUGAUGUGCGAAAGCGUGGGGAUCAAACAGGAUUAGAUACCCUGGUAGUCCACGCCGUAAACGAUGAGUGCUAAGUGUUAGGGGGUUUCCGCCCCUUAGUGCUGCAGCUAACGCAUUAAGCACUCCGCCUGGGGAGUACGACCGCAAGGUUGAAACUCAAAGGAAUUGACGGGGACCCGCACAAGCGGUGGAGCAUGUGGUUUAAUUCGAAGCAACGCGAAGAACCUUACCAAAUCUUGACAUCCUUUGACAACUCUAGAGAUAGAGCCUUCCCCUUCGGGGGACAAAGUGACAGGUGGUGCAUGGUUGUCGUCAGCUCGUGUCGUGAGAUGUUGGGUUAAGUCCCGCAACGAGCGCAACCCUUAAGCUUAGUUGCCAUCAUUAAGUUGGGCACUCUAAGUUGACUGCCGGUGACAAACCGGAGGAAGGUGGGGAUGACGUCAAAUCAUCAUGCCCCUUAUGAUUUGGGCUACACACGUGCUACAAUGGACAAUACAAAGGGCAGCGAAACCGCGAGGUCAAGCAAAUCCCAUAAAGUUGUUCUCAGUUCGGAUUGUAGUCUGCAACUCGACUACAUGAAGCUGGAAUCGCUAGUAAUCGUAGAUCAGCAUGCUACGGUGAAUACGUUCCCGGGUCC